CCUACGGGAGGCUGCAGUGGGGAAUAUUGGACAAUGGGGGGAACCCUGAUCCAGCCAUGCCGCGUGUGUGAAGAAGGCCCUCGGGUUGUAAAGCACUUUCAGUGAGGAAGAACGCCUGGUGGUUAAUACCCAUCAGGAAAGACAUCACUCACAGAAGAAGCACCGGCUAACUCCGUGCCAGCAGCCGCGGUAAUACGGAGGGUGCGAGCGUUAAUCGGAAUUACUGGGCGUAAAGCGCGCGUAGGUGGCUUGAUAAGCCGGUUGUGGAAGCCCCGGGCUCAACCUGGGAACGGCAUCCGGAACUGUCAAGCUAGAGUGCAGGAGAGGAAGGUAGAAUUCCCGGUGUAGCGGUGAAAUGCGUAGAGAUCGGGAGGAAUACCAGUGGCGAAGGCGGCCUUCUGGACUGACACUGACACUGAGGUGCGAAAGCGUGGGUAGCAAACAGGAUUAGAUACCCCAGUAGUC
rnacentral:rRNA from 1 species